UUCCGGUUGAUCCUGCCGGAGGUCAGUGCUUUCGGUGUUCGACUAAGCCAUGCGAGUCAAAUGUUCUUCGUGAACAUGGCGUACUGCUCAGUAACACGUGGAUAACCUGCCCUUAGGUCCGGCAUAACCCCGGGAAACUGGGGAUAAUUCCGGAUAGAUUAUAGAUGCUGGAAUGCCUUGUAAUCCAAAGCUAUUGUGCCUAAGGAUGGGUCUGCGGUCUAUCAGGUUGUAGUGGGUGUAACGUACCUACUAGCCUACGACGGAUACGGGUUGUGGGAGCAAGAGCCCGGAGAUGGAUUCUGAGACAUGAAUCCAGGCCCUACGGGGCGCAGCAGGCGCGAAAACUUUACAAUGCGGGGAACCGCGAUAAGGGGACACCGAGUGCCAGCAUCCUAUGUUGGCUGUCCAUAUGUCUAAAUCACAUGUGUUAGCAAGGGCCGGGCAAGACCGGUGCCAGCCGCCGCGGUAACACCGGCGGCCCGAGUGGUGGCCACUAUUAUUGGGUCUAAAGGGUCCGUAGCCGGUUUGGUCAUUCUUCCGGGAAAUCUGACGGCUCAACCGUUAGGCUUUCGGGGGAUACUACCAGGCUUGGGACCGGGAGAG
rnacentral:rRNA from 1 species